AAGGUUCUUUACGACUGAAAUAAAAUAUUAGAUGUAGAUUCAUCUUGCUAAGGUUCACUUGUUGGAUAUUCCUAUUACUAUUUUUCUGCUGCAUCAUUGGACAAUUUUUUCUUAACUCUCUAUUACCAAGUCCUCUUUCUGUGAUCAAUAAAGCAAUUGAAGAAGAUAGGUUUGAUAUCCCAGACGUUCCUAUGGAGGAGGACUAGAUUUUUGAUCAGCAACCUCUAUGAGGGUAAGAUAUUAAUUGCUGUAAAUGUGAUUCUCACUUUAUCGUUUAUAUACGCACGAAGCUCCAGCAAAUACCAGAGAUUAAAAAGUGUACCUUUACUUUUUCCUAUGAAGUAUGUGAUGGUAUAUUAGCAGUUUCUGGAUUCAGUAUGGAUAGAGACUGAGAGCUGUGCCACAUGAUACAUGAGCAUUCCUGUGUGGGCUGUUGGAGUUGGGAGUUGACUAGAGAUGUUGCAAUAUAUUCUUUCAUGAUAUUUAUAAUUUUUGGUCAUGUCUUCAUCAGCUUAUGCCUAAAUAGGUAUAUGCGACGAACCUCAAAAGUGUAAUUGCCCUGGGUUUUCAAAUUUUAGUGUACCCCGUGACUUUAAAAGUUUGAGAAUCCCAAGUAGAGAUGUGUCCUCUUUUGGUAAACAGUAUCAAAACAGAUUAAACUUAUAUUUACAAGAAACAAAGCAUUUACAGGCGUUGAAUCAAAUUUAUCUCCCAAGCUUUGCUUAGAUGUCAAGUAUCUCUUCUGAAUAAUAACAUUUUUUUUUCUCCAAUAUUUUUCUGUGUUUGAUUGGCGAAAGAAACUUAUUAGGUCUAGUAUUGUUACUGGGGUUCUAUAUACUAGUGUACAAAAUACUUUUCAUUCCCGUCAUUUUUGUGCUUGAAACAUCAAAAUGGAC
rnacentral:lncRNA from 1 species